rnacentral:rRNA from 1 species
UACGGAAGGGGCAAGCGUUGUUCGGAAUCAUUGGGCGUAAAGGGCGCGUAGGUGGUUCUGUAUGUCUGCCGUGAAAGCGUACGGCUCAACCGUAUUUUGUCGGUAGAAACUGCAGGACUUGAGGCUGGGAGGGGCUGGUGGAAUUCCCUGUGUAGCGGGUGAAAUGCGUAGAGAUGGGGGAGAACACUCGUGGCGAAGGCGGCCAGCUAGACCAGUUCUGACACUGAGGCGCGACAGCGUGGGGAGCAAACAGG